AGUCACUGACAUUAGAUACCCGUGUAGUCCAGGGUGUAAACGCUGCAGACUUGGUGUUGGGGCCCUUUGGGGGCAUUCAGUGCCGGAGAGAAGUUGUUAAGUCUGCUACGUUGGGAGUACGUCCGCAAGGAUGAAACUUAAAGGAAUUGGCGGGGGAGCACCGCAACGGGAGGAGCGUGCGGUUUAAUUGGAUUCAACACCGUAAACUCACCAGGGAAGACUGUUACAUGAAGGCCGAGAUGAAGACUCUGCUAGAUUUUCAG
rnacentral:rRNA from 1 species